GGGAUGUGUAGAUUAGGUGCAUUAGUCAGGGGUAAAUACAAGUUCGGGGAAUGGGUCUAGGUGGGUUACUCUUUGAAGGGUUGGUAUGGACUACUUCCACACUCAGGAUUCUAUGGAUUCUACACAUUUUUCGAUAGUGGUUACUGCACGCUGAUUGAGAGCCAAAGCCUUGGCUUGUCAUCUGCCACAGCCAUCAACCACAACUCUGAGGAGCUUUGAUGUAAUUUGUUCCUCUUCUAGAAGUCUUGGGACUAGUAAAAUUGGGUGUUGACCAGAGGUCAGAUGUGAAACCUUCCUAGUGUGCCAACUAUCCAUCAUGUAGUGCAUUUAGAAACUGGGCCAUCUUGUGGUUAGUUAUUGCCUCUGUGUUUAAAUUCUCAUUGCCAUUUAUCGGAAAUGGAGAGGUGGGGCUGAGUAGGGCUAUAAGGAAGAAGCUUAAACUGGAUGUGAGAUAUAGGUUUACAGACUCUGUUCUGGCCUUAAUUCAGCAAUAUUGUGUCUUUCUGAUGAAGCUUGUCAUGUUUUACUGCAGGGUUGCUGUUACUUGAUCUGCUGAAUCCUGAAUGUUUUAUGUUUCAAAAUCCAGUGCUGCAGUCCUUUUGAGAAUUACAGGCCCUGUAGCACAUGGCUCAAUGCUGUCUGCUCCAGGAUUUCAUUCACUUUAUUCAAAUGAACUAAUAAAACCAUUUGAAGCCAUGAGUCUUGAAUGCAAUAUUUAUGAAAUGAUUGCAGUUAUUAAAUCUGUGCCUUCUGCCUUAAGUACUUUACAAUUAUAAAUGUCCUAUGCUUUGCUUAAAUGAAAACAACAUUUCUGGAUUGGAUCUGACAUAAUAAAUGAGUAUAGGUUCUCAUUGUUGAGAACAAAUUGUGAUAAUUAGCUUGAAGCUAUUAAUAUUAGAGGCUGACUCGAACGAUUGGAAGAAACGAGGAAAGAAAAAUGAAACCAUCUUUGGAUUAGCUGGGCCGCUGAUUAAAGAAACCCAACUUCAAUCAGUGGGAUUCCCAGGCUUUUCAGUGACGUUUGGAGAUCAGCUUCUCUGUUUCUCUCCAUUCGUCUUCAUGGAAACCAAAUAUUAAAUUUGUUUCCAUGAAUUAGCAAUGGCCUUGGAAAGGACCAUUCCUGUAAAACCACGUGUGAAUAUUUGCCAUUUCUGUUUUCAAAGGAAAAAAAUGCACUUGUCAAUGCAAGCAACUCAGCAACUGUAAGAAUUCUUUGUGCCUGCAACGCUUGUGCAGAUGUUGUUUGAAGAGGCAGUGCAGGUUUGAUACUACCUGUUGGAUCUUGCUAACAAUACCUCAAAAUUGCCUCUAAUCUCAUGUGCAGAUUUCUAGCUGUUUACAGCCAUCUGAUGAAUGUGGUGGUGUUACUCUCUUUGCAGAGGACGGAAUUGUCUGGCCACCAUCUCUUCCCCUUAUUCUGGAGUUUUGCACAUACACCCCCAGCACAAUUUGUGACCAGUGGACUUCCACCCAGAGAUAUAUAUUUGACGAGCUAGCUACUGCCACUUGCCUGAAAGUGGUUUCCAGUUUAACUGGUGAAUUUCAAAGCUGUGUCCAUCCACCAGGAGGUAACGUUGAUGAACACAUGGAAUCAUCCAUGUGUGAAAUGUAUGUAGAACUGUUUUGCAGUGGGUUAAGCUUUCUAGCAGACUGCAACUUGUGUAAAUUGUCCACAUAGGUGUUUACUAAACAGCACCCAGUACUAGCAUGGGAGGACGAGAUUGCUUCUCUGGCGGGAGUCUCAGUACUCUGGAGUGCUGCACUCUUAAAGGGUCGUCAUUCAGGCAUGGCAUAAACUAAACCCCUAUCUGCAUUCUCAGGAGUACACCAAGAUUCCAGUGGCACUUUUUUGAAUAAGUGUUUGCGAGUUCUAUCUAGUGUCCUGGUCCAUAGUUAUCCUAGAACAGUCACCAUUAAAAUGGAUCAUUUGGUCAUGUAUCUCAUUGCUGUUUAGAGAACUUGAUCUGCAUUACAACAUUGACCACACUUCAAAAGUACUUGGAAUGUCAGUGGGUUGUGAAAGGUGAUGUGUGAAUGCAAUUACUUUUAACUGACUUAGUACCUAUUAAUAAUUUUUUUUUGUGGAGCUGUGGCUCAAGGUUUACCAUUUUUAAUGUUUUGUGAUUGAAACAAUGUGAGAAGUUAUAUUAUUAUUAUUUUUACUAGUCUGUUGUAACACAAGUAACCAAUAUGAUCCGAAGGCCUUUCUGGAAUUAUCUGUUUUAAAAGUAAGUGCAGAUUUACUGGAUUACUUUGUUGAUAAAAUCAAUAUUAUCAAUAGUGAAUGAAUAAAUCUUUUAUCUGUUGAAUUUUCUUUACACUCAAAUAAACCUGGUUUCAAAGCAUCUAAUCUGUCUUUUGAAUAGCUAUUGUCAGGUUUUAAAAUCUUCAAAAUAAAUUGCAGAAACUCUAACAAUGGAGGUGUUUCAAUUUGUUUGUUUGAAAGGAUACCAUAAUCUUUCCCCAAUGGAUAUGUGCUACUGGACCUCCGGCAUUAGUGAAAAUUUGGGCUGCGUGUGACAAUGUCCUCAAAAUUAAUCUUCCAUUCCUGGAGACUGUACAAUUGACUCUGGUGCCAGUAAAGACCCAUAAAAUUGGACUCAGGCAGCGGUCUCCCAGUCUCAAAAACUCAGAGAUGCAAAUAAAAUCCAGUGCUAUGACAUCUUUUACAUUCACAAAAGAGACAGAAGAAGAUGUCGAUUUCACAUUGCCUCUGAGAGACGGCACAAUUACUCUGAGGUUUGUGCCUGAGAUUCAAUUUGAUAAAGAAGUCCGCAGUACUCACAGCUGUCCAUGUUAACAUUAGUGGAUUGUUUGUGAAGCUCCUUAUGUACUGUUUGUAGGAUUCCAAGUGCUUCAGUCUAUUUUAACCAGGAAUUAAGGUGCUUUGUUACCAGAAGAAGGUUUGCUUGAGUCUAUAUGACACAAAUUCUUGUUUAUUCUGACAGUUGUCAUGUUUUAAUGAUUACUUUGCAAUGUUUGGCCUGGGUGGGAUGUUUUUUCCCUAUAUCUCUGUGUAAUCAGCCUGCACCAAUAGCUCAGCCAACUUCUCAACUUCCUGCUUCAACUUUGGCAGAAGCUUAGAUUUCUGUGUCCCCUACGUUACUGCCUUAAGAGUUUUUCCACAAGUAUGAUUCAGAGGUUGCCAAUUUGUCUGUAUUCUGUUGUUACACUUAUCUCCCAGCUUCUGAAUGAAGUGCCAGGUGGGGGGUCUGAGACAGCAAUUUGGAAAUUAUUUUCUUUGAAAAGGAAUGAAAUGCGAAGGAGAUUGAAACACAAUCCAAAUUUACUGUUCAAUCAAUAUCUGUGUAAGAAAAGAAAGGCUUGCAUUUAUGUGGAAUAGGAUGUGAUUAUUUUUUGUCAAAAGAAAUAAACAAUGUGAAAGCUUUUUGCACUGAAAUUACAGCAGGAAAGUCAUCACCAGAUCUGCUUCAAACUGAUUUCUACAGCAGUGUGUGAAGGUUUGACAAUGCUGUUGAUGUGGGAGCCUCAAAUGACCGCAAGUAUCUAAAUGACUCUAAAAGAGCAUGUCAAUUUCAGUGAUAUCAAC